CCUGCCGGCGACCGGCGCACGGGUGAGUAACACGUAUGCGACCUGCCCCCGCAGGGGAUAACCGGGAGAAAUCCCGACUAAUACCGCGUAACGCCGCGGACCUGCAUGGGUCUGCGGCCAAAGGAAGCGAUUCCGGCGGGGGAUGGGCAUGCGGCGCAUUAGCUAGUCGGCGGGGUAACGGCCCACCGAGGCGACGAUGCGUAGGGGUUCUGAGAGGAAGGUCCCCCACACUGGUACUGAGACACGGACCAGACUCCUACGGAAGGCAGCAG
rnacentral:rRNA from 1 species